rnacentral:rRNA from 3 species
CCGCGUAUUUAGUUGUUGCAGUUAAAAGCUCGUAGUUGAAGUUCUGGCUGUUCGAUCCUCGAGCUCUGUAGCCGAGGACUCGACAGUCAUCCGCUUGCAAAUAUAGUUCGUCUUUAACCGGAUGGCUAUAUGAGUAAGCAAUUUACCUUGAGAAAAACAGAGUGUCCCAGGCAGGUUUGUCCGGAAUGCAUUAGCAUGGAAUAAUAGAAUAUGACUGAAGUCGAUUUAUUGGUUUGAGGCUUUAGUAAUGAUUAAUAGGAACAGUCGGGGGCAUUGGUACUUGACAGUCAGAGGUGAAAUUCUAGGAUUUGUCAAAGACUAACAAAUGCGAAAGCAUUUGCCAAGGAUGUUUUCAUUAAUCAAGAACGAAAGUUAGGGGAUCAAAGACGAUCAGAUACCGUCCUAGUCUUAACUAUAAACUAUACCGACUCGGAUUCAGAUGAAUCAUAAAGUUCAUUUGGGACCGUAGGAGAAAUCAAAGUUUUUGGGUUCUGGGGGAAGUAUGGUCG